GGGAGAUCCCGUGGUUUGUGGAGUCAACAUCUCUAUUUUAUAUUGCUAUCCCAGGAUGUUCCUCAAUCGAGAUCUUACCUGAUUUGUCGUCAUGUACCAACUUGACCUGUCUGGUUGUGCAAAAUUGCGAGAAACUAACUAAGCUUCGAGGCCUGGAGAAAUUGAAGCACCUAAGGACAUUGGACAUUUCUGGAUGCAAGUCACUCAAAACAAUACCAAAGUUGUCUGGAAUUCUGCUUUUCCGAAAUUAUGAGGAAAAUCCAUUUGACUCAUAUCGAUUGAGGAGUGCAUUUGGAGAAGACGACAGUGAUGAGUCAGACUGUUGAGAUGAUCCACAUAUCCUUAGAAAAGCUCAUGUAGCAGGAUUUGGAUAUUAUUCCACUGGUUGUGAUUUAAAUGCUGAUACAACCAGAACGGCUUUUGAAAGGCACUUCUAAAAGGAAGCAAAGUCAUCAAAGGAUCAGGACCUCGAUGUUUCUUGGACUGCUCCGAAUGCUGACAAUGCAUCCUUGGAAAGGUAAAGGAUGUUCGCUCUAUUUUUGUCCCACAUUGCCCUGAUUACGAUCAACAGAAGCAUUGCGGAGCUGAAACUGUCCGCUGAGAGGUUUUUGAAAUACUGAAAGUCUAGCCAAUUAGUUUGAUAUAGUGCCCAAUAAUUUGGACGAUUGCAUUCUGAAUUGGCAUCAUAGUUGGCCC